AAUAAGUUAGUCCCAAAAAAGAUAUAAAAGGUAAACAAAACAUCCAAAGUUGACAAGAUAACAGCGUGAAACCAUCAAAACUUAUAGAUAAGUUUGAGACGUAUCACGUGGUCGGGGCAGCCAGACCCGGCGGGGCUGGACGGCGGCGAUGGGCCAAGGCAGCAACGGUGGGUAGCAGCAAGAGCUCGCGGCCAUGGGAGGAGUUGCAGCUCGGCGGCUUCGGGCGGAUGCAGACGACGAGGUGCUCGGGGACGGGCUGCUGCAAUUGGCUGGGGCGGCGACGACCUGAACGACGAUGGGGUCGGCUCGUCUCGGACGACGUGGCAGCGGUGCAGCACUGCGCGGGGCAGAGCACGCGUGAGGAGGCAAGGCGGGGAACGGGGUGGAGCAGGGAGAUCA
rnacentral:lncRNA from 1 species